UGCCUAUCCAAUUUGGAGUUUGGAUCCUCCUCUCUCCAUAUCCGAAUUUGGCUAUAAAUAGAUUACAUCUGUGUUAGUUUUUGUUGGCAGAUUUUGUAUUUUAUAGCAAGAAUUUUAGUGUAGAUCGACUUAAUUUGGUAAAACUUUACUAGUUUGGCUUCAGGGUUUUCCUGAAUAUCAUGAUUCAAGGGACGUGAUGGUUAGAUUAUAUGAGAAUGAGAUAUCUGAGCUCUGUAAUACCUUCCUUGGUUUUCCAGCACCUCCAUGGUUCCUAGCUCUUCUAUCCAUCAGCAGUUUGAUCUGUAGCUUGUCGUAUCCUACACGGACGAAGUUGUUUGGGGAGCUCAGCUCCACUUUGGGCUUGCUGCUGAAAUCGUGCAUGUCUUCUGAGGUGGCAGAGUUGUCCCUGUUUAUGCUUCCAUGAGUCUUUGAAGUUCCCUUUGUGGUGCUCUGGUGCUAGCGUCGAUGGCGUUGAUUCCUCCCUCUGUUUGUUAUGUCUUUUGUUCAGGUCAUAUGCCUGUUUAGUCCUAAGUUUCUUAGUCGUAAUGACUUUUUGACUUUUUGGUUUUGGAUUUGAGAUUGAAUUGUAGUUAAAAAUCUUUUCUACAAGUGAG
rnacentral:misc_RNA from 1 species